rnacentral:rRNA from 1 species
GACGAACGCUGGCGGCGUGCUUAACACAUGCAAGUCGAACGGAAAGGCCUGCUUUCCCUUGUGGAUUGCGGGUACUCGAGUGGCGAACGGGUGAGUAACACGUGAGUGAUCUGCCCCCAACUUGGGUAUAAGCCUGGGAAACUGGGUCUAAUUCCCGAUAGGACUGCAGGGUGGUGCCUGUGGUGGAAAACGAUUUUCUAGUGGUUGGGGAUGAGCUCGCGGCCUAUCAGCUUGUUGGUGGGGUAAUGGCCUACCAAGGCGGCGACGGGUAGCCGGCCUGGGAGGGUGGACGGCCACAUUGGGACUGAGAUACGGCCCAGACUCCUACGGGAGACAGCAGUGGGGAAUAUUGCACAAUGGGCGGAAGCCUGAUGCAGCGACGCCGCGUGGGGGAUGACGGCCUUCGGGUUGUAAACUCCUUUCGACCGCGAGGAAGCCACCUGGUUGGAAGGGUGGUGACGGUAGUGGUAGAAGAAGCACCGGCUAACUACGUG